rnacentral:tRNA from 1 species
AUCUAGGUAGCUCAGUGGAUAGAGUACUGGCUUGGAAUCAGAAAGAUCUGAAUUCAAAUUUGUGCUCAGAUA